CACUGCAGAAGGUCUACACUUGAAACGAACAAAGCAUAUCACAUUUCCCCCCCAUGCAUCCAUCUAUCUAAGUAUCAAUCUAUCUACUGAGAUGGACACAUCUGUCACAGCAAACACAAAAUGGAGGCCAUUUGUUUGAAAAUGUGCGCGUGUGUAAUAUGCAUGUAUCUCGUUGCCCCAUUUCCAUAGAAAUCAAAAGCCGUCAGAAGUUUACUCAUCCCCCUGUUUUGACUCCAUUCAAUCAAGUGUGUGUAUAAUUACCCAACUGCCGUAUGCUAAUCUAUGGGGACCCAAAUAUUGCGUUUUGACAAAUCCUUCAUUUGUAUUCACCCGCCACACAAAGCAUCAAUCGUGCCUUCCAUGCAGGCGGCCCCCCUAAACUUACCCACCCCCCAUUCCCUGGAAAACAGAGCUGCGGAGCAAGCGCCGCCUGAUUAGAACUGGGAUGCAUGCUGGGAUCUGCGUGUGUCAUUAAUAUCUUCCCAUCCAGAUGGCUCUUUCUAGGUAUUUGAAUUCAUAAAAAGCGCUAAGGCUGGGUCCUGCCCUGGAAGAGUUUGGCGAUGGGAACAGAGACCGGGAAUAAACAGAGUGUGCGUUCCAAAGUUGGCCACCCGCUGGGGCUAAUAAACGCCCCUCUUUCUUUGGUCACCCAGCCUCGGAGAGGAGGCAGAGGCUGUAAUUGCCAUGGUGAUGUGCUGAAUCCGCAGACACAGGAUAGCAUCCGUCUCGCUCGCAGGGUGAAAUCACACAGCGAUCAGCGGCCCGGCGCUCUCCAGUCAACCCGAUGUCUUAUCUGCACUUGUGCGUGCAGUCAGUCUGUUCCCGCUGAAAGUGGAGGGGCCGCUGUAUCCUCCACACUCUGCAAUUCCUUUCUCUUAAUCUACUGUCUACCCACUGUCAGAGCAACAGAAACAUUUGCAGCUUGCAUGAAAAGAAAUUACCGGGCGGACAGCCAGCGAGAGGGAAAGAGGUGCCGCCUCUGCGCUGUGACAGCGGGAGAAAUUGCUGCCACAACGGUUGUGUGGGGAGAGGAAGAAAACGAGGGAGGAUGACGAUGAUGCUGGCAGCGUCUCUAACCGGGGAAAAUAAACCAUGACAACAUCCAAAUCACACAUGCACUCACUCUCAGCGCGCUUGUUUACAGCGAUUAUGUGUUUGGGGAGGAGGCAAAGAGAGAAAGAGGGAGAGAACGCAUCUCAAUUUAUGAAGCUUUUUCCACCGCUGAGAGUCAACAAAAUGCAGGCAGUGUUCGCUUCCAGAGAGCCAAUUCUGCCAUCAGUGGAGGCAAACUCACAGGGAGAGCAGCUGAUUAGAGAACAGUAUGCUCUGUGCUGCAGGGAGAGCAUGGAAAAAUAGUGGCAUGUCUCUCUCAAUCCCUCUGCUGUGUCGCAGAAAUGAUUUUUAUGUCGCUCAAUGCUUUUUGACACAAUAGCAAAAAGAGAAAAAGAUUUCAAAUGGUAAAGCAUGCUCUCGCUUGCUGUAAAGCGACACUCUGUAUUAUCAAAAAAUACAUCGAAUGAACUAAUUAUACUUUGUAAGUAUGCAACAUCUGCAAGAAUGCUCUCAUUACUAUCAACAAAACUGUCUACACUGCAAGUGAUUUAACAAUGAGCACAUUUACAUGCACACCAAUAUGCUGAUAAUAACUACCAAAAAACAAUUGUCAAAUUUUUUUUUAAUGGUUAACAUGCAAACCAACAACAUGGCAACACUUCAGAAUUCAGUCAUUUCUGUACCUGAUUCUGCAUAUUCCAUUUAUUAUGUGAGUCAUGCUGUUAAAUAAAGCAUUAAAACCCCCUAAAUGUCAGCAGAAAAGUUCCCACAGCUGCAGGAUUUUGACUGUACAACUUCUCCUUCAGCUGCAUGAGAUGAAAAACACAUUUUAUAAUUUUUGGGGUCAAAAAAAACAGUCGGAGUGGACUAUAUAUUUUCUUCUCACCUACCAUGAAGCGCUUGUUCGGGCCAGAUGUGCUUCAAACCACAGAAAAAACUUUCCUGUCAUACAGUAAGAAGUUUUAACUUAAAUAGUCUGACAGAACACAGGUUAAGAUGUUUACAUUCCGG
ensembl:lncRNA